GAUGAAGAACGUAGCGAAAUGCGAUACGUAAUGUGAAUUGCAGAAUUCAGUGAAUCAUCGAAUCUUUGAACGCAUAUUGCGCUCUUUGGUAUUCCGAAGAGCAUGCUUGUUUGAGUAUCAGUAAACACCUCAACCUCUUCUUGAUUUUUCAAAAGGAGGGUGGACUUGAGCUAUCCCAACAACCUUUACCGGUCGGCGGGCGGCUUGAAAUGCAGGUGCAGCUGGACUUUUAUCUGAGCUAAAAGCAUAUCUAUUUAGUCCUCGUCAAACAGGAUUAUUACUUUUGCUGCAGCUAACAUAAAGGAUAAUUGUCCUCUUUGCUGACUGAUGCAGGAUUUUACGACACUUUAUGUGUUGUUCAACUCGAUCUCAAAUCAAGUAAGACUACCCGCUGAACUUAAGCAUAUCAAUAACCGGAGGA
rnacentral:misc_RNA from 1 species